CGAACGCUGGCGGCAGGCCUAACACAUGCAAGUCGAACGGUAGCACAGAGAGCUUGCUCUCGGGUGACGAGUGGCGGACGGGUGAGUAAUGUCUGGGAAACUGCCUGAUGGAGGGGGAUAACUACUGGAAACGGUAGCUAAUACCGCAUAACGUCGCAAGACCAAAGAGGGGGACCUUCGGGCCUCUUGCCAUCAGAUGUGCCCAGAUGGGAUUAGCUAGUAGGUGGGGUAACGGCUCACCUAGGCGACGAUCCCUAGCUGGUCUGAGAGGAUGACCAGCCACACUGGAACUGAGACACGUGCC
rnacentral:rRNA from 1 species